CGACAUAGGAAACUAAACGAAUCGCUGGAUAAACACGGCACAAGAAUUUUUGAAGGGGCCGGCAAUUCGUCGUGGCACACGGUAACAGAUUCUUCUAUAAGCUAUACUGUGGUCACAGCCCACGAGAGCACCUUGACUCGACGCGCAGAGAUCCAACUAGCCGCUAUUAGAACUAGCCUACACUUCCCGACUAGGUGAGGCCUUAGAAGAGCACAAGAAUGUAUUUCCUACACAACAUUCAAUAACUAUUCGUCCGAUAUCGUACUCGGACAAUCUGAUCUGAGUCAAAAACGAAAGCAGAAGUUUCAACCGGUGAAUAAUUAAGUAAGCCGGGUAUGCGACUAGAAGACAUCACCAGGCGUGAGUUUCGUCGGCCGACAAGGCGAGAGAAUCGUUUGUGAGCCCUAUAAGUCUAAGAAACGGUAAGCAUAUUCGAGGCAGUUGAAUUCGGCCACGGUGGCUCGACAACAGACGUGCGCCGUAAAAACAGUGCGUCAUAAACAAUAACACAUAAUACAACGCGAUACUCUCACGUUCGCAGAGCGCGCUAUGGUAAGUUCUAAAUUUCGCUCAAAUUUUCACGAGAGAAAGGUUUCGCGCACAUCAGUCACCCGCGCAACUUCAAAACACGACUUCCACAUUCAUAGCAGCGAGUUUCACAUCCGAGACAGCAACGACAGCAUGGAGGCAUAGCAGCAUUACGACGACCAGACGACGGCGGCGGCAAGAUACACAGUGAUGUAAAUUGAAGGACAGAAAUUCCGAAUUGAACCCGGAAGCGUGGAGAAAAGCUUUGACCCUAAUUAAAAGUCGAUAUGUGAAUCUGCCUAACCACUUCCGCUUAGCGAUAUGGCUGCUGUCGACGUCUUUGGAAAAAAAGUAUGCAUGUCGCGAAUGUCCUGGGAGGUUACUGAUUAAGAGUUUGGCUCGUUCGCGUUGAAGUGACACGAAGCAGGGACGAGUAACGAAGGAGCUAGUGAUUCAAGUUCCGAGAUGACUAUAAGCAGUAAACAUCGAAAUAGAUUCAUACUGCUUUUGGUAGCCUCAUUGGGUUUGCUUUAAUGGUUUUUGCCGUUACUUUUGCUUUUCAUUUUUGUUUGCUGUCUUUAUUGUGAGUCGGCUAAUAGUUUGGAUAUAAGGCGAUAAGAACAAGGGGUAGCUUAUGGAUCGUCCGCACGGCUGGCUCUGUCCGUUGCUGGACGAAAAAAAAAUAACGAUACGAAUGGACCGAUCUUCUCUAUUUUCCUAUUGCUAACAAAUGAGUGAGCGUUGUUGAGUCAAUCAGGACACCAUACCGUCAGCAGAUGUGUGCGUGACUCGUCAGA